rnacentral:rRNA from 1 species
GAGUUUGAUCGUGGCUCAGAUUGAACGCUGGCGGCAUGCCUUACACGUGCAAGUCGAACGGCAGCACGGGAGCUUGCUCCUGGUGGCGAGUGGCGAACGGGUGAGUAAUGCAUCGGAACGUAUCCUGGAGUGGGGGAUAACGUAGCGAAAGUUACGCUAAUACCGCAUAUUCUGUGAGCAGGAAAGCGGGGGACCUUCGGGCCUCGCGCUCUUGGAGCGGCCGAUGUCGGAUUAGCUAGUUGGUGAGGUAAAGGCUCACCAAGGCGACGAUCCGUAGCAGGUCUGAGAGGAUGAUCUGCCACACUGGAACUGAGACACGGUCCAGACUCCUACGGGAGGCAGCAGUGGGGAAUUUUGGACAAUGGGGGCAACCCUGAUCCAGCCAUGCCGCGUGAGUGAAGAAGGCC